rnacentral:lncRNA from 1 species
UGCUGAAAAGUGCGGCCGCAUUUAAUAUGUUGUAACGUGUUGCAUCACCGCGUUUCUGAAACGCGCCAGCGCUGCACAAUCGAUCACGAUUGCGCCAUCAGCAGAGCCACGACAAAAGGCAGACACACAUUUUACGAUGGGGUUUUUCAUGGCACCGCCGCAGCAGCUCAAUGGGACGAAGAGAAUCCGAGAGCCCUGCAGCAACAGCAGUCUGUUCGAGUUCCUCCGUUUCCCCUAAUAUCUCGCAUUCGUAUCAAAGAAUUUACAUUUCCCGUGUGCCAAAUAAUGUUUCUCUCCGCUCCUAUCGUUUCUUCUGUCUCCGCUGGCUGGCCCGCCCGCUCGUUCGGUCACGUAAUAAUAAGGCGUCGUUAUUAUCCGCAGUGUAGAAUUGCAGCAUGCAGCAACAGCAUCGGCUCGGGUGAUUUGGCCCAUCAUCAUCGUGUGCUUUUGUGCAAUGGAAGCCCCAUGGACGCAGUCGAGUUAUUCGACGUGUUAGAGCAGCUGCAAGGCGAUACGCCAGCAAUAAAAAGAAACCGGAGAUUUGUUGUACAGCAACACACCAGACACUUUCGUUGACGUUUCACAAAAUUCAAAGGAAUCGGGAUCUCCUAAAUAUAUACUAUACGGCGAAGUGGCUUACCACUGAAAAUUCCGGAUUGUUCAUCCAUCAUCUAUCCGUCCAUAUUCCAGUCGUAUUCAAGAGCUGCCAUAUAUGGACUGUGCCAAUUCUGAAAUCAAGAAGAGGGGGGCAUUGGCCUCUCAAUAGACAGAGACAUCAUCCAUGCGGAUGCUGGUGAUACAUAAGCAAAGUAUUCGUAGGGACGAAAGAACUGCACUGUACCUGUUUGCCCUAACAACAACAAUUCAUUUGUUGUCGGGGUUGUGUUGGAGGGAGUGUUCAUCCAGGGUUGGACAGAAGCAAGUCCCAUCCAUCAAAAGAUCUCCUUAAAAGAAAGAAAGUUUCAACUCUGAUAUUAAAGAAAAUCCAACAGCAUCAGAAUGAUGGAAGGGAGGACUGAACGGAAUGGAGUGAUGGAUGAGUGCCUUGUCUAUCCUGGACCAAAAGUGUACAGUAUUUUGCAGGUGCUGCUCCAGAGUCGAGUGUAUUCGUUCAUCACGUAUUCUCGUCACGGCGACGGAUAUGACCAGUGCAUUAACUGCUGAUGCUGUACAGGACUGUUGCAUUAUUAUCAGCAGGAGCAGUGCUAAGUGCUUAGUGAAGAUGGGCUAGUAAAUGUUGGCCGCCAUGAAGAAGAAGAAUUAGUGGAGGAACUAGGGCGACAAUCCCUGAUGGAAGCGGGGAAGCCUCCUGAUAACGUGCAUGCAGGAGCUACAUGUAAUUCAUUCAAAUCAAAUCACUGAAACUCUUAUUCAGAGUCGGCGGCAUUAAGCUCGUCCAAGGAAGAAAGACGAGGAAGAUGAAAACAAGUUUGACAACUCGCAACGGAUGGUAUGGACGAGAAAUAACAAUUCCGCCAUUCCGCCAUCAACCAGUUUCAAAGGUUAUCUCGUUUUACGUUUUAUCGGGUGUUGAUUCAUAUAUUUUUGCACAGCCGAAACAGAAAAAAAAAAUCGAUUAAAAGUCAACAGCGACAAAUUUGAUGAAAUCGAAUGAUGUGUCUAGUCUCAAUUACACCAAGCAAGAAUGUCGAUAAAAAAAAUUACUUAAAGGAAUAUCACGAUCGGAAUAUCUUAGUUCACUCCUUUUCAUUGACCAACAAAUUGAGAGUCUUCAACCGACUUGUAAAUUCAGCAAGAAAAUUAAGUUGUAGAGAAAACGGUGGUAAUUAAUUUGCUAUUGAAUUUUGCGACUUGUUAGGUGACAGGUAAGAUGUAGUUAAAAUAAGUCGAGACUCACCUUUAAACGAUGCUCAAAGUUGUAUAGUUUUCUAGGCUGCAAAGAGUUGAUUGUGCUGGCAAUCGGUUGAUUCGCAAAGGUGGUGAUGACUGAAAAGGUAUGACGAGAAUCAAUCGGAGAAAUUUUGUUGACGUUUGUCAAUUGUGAAAAUGUUGGUCGACUGAACGCUUGCGGGUCGACUGUCGCCGUUCAACUAACGGCUGCAGUUCUCGCUCUUUUUUAUAUAACGCGACGAGUAGCAGGGACGACCGGUGGCGGGUCGGUGAAUAAGAAGAUCGCGCAGCGAACGAAAUCAUUUCUUUCUCUUAUCUUGUACUCCACCCCCCUAUUUCUUGGUAUAUGGCUCACGGUGAUUGCUUUUAUUGGGAAUCGAACAUUCCGAUGGCCUUUACGUCAAAAUUUUUUUUUAUUGCCGUUGAUUUCUUUUUGGUUGUCAUUUUGUUAUGUUGUCCUCCCACGCGCUGCUCUGGUUGUCGGGCGCCCAUCUGUACUAAUACCGUUUCUCGGCAUUGUGUUAUUUUCGCCCCUCCGUGAUGUUCAAAUUAAUCUUUGGGUUGACUAAACAUGCACUACGUUUAUCGAGCUGAUGGAUCGAGUUUCGUUUUCAUUCACUACAUAACGAUGAGCGUCAUCAUCCCAAUUAUUUAAUUCGGGGAAAUUCAUUUUCCAAGAAGAAGACGAUUUCCGGUUUUGUCUUAUGUAAUUGGAUUUGUUUUCAUUGC